rnacentral:rRNA from 1 species
AUACGUAGGGGGCAAGCGUUGUCCGGAAUUAUUGGGCGUAAAGCGCGCGCAGGCGGUCUUUUAAGUCUGAUGUGAAAUCUUGCGGCUCAACCGCAAGCGGUCAUUGGAAACUGGGAGACUUGAGUACAGAAGAGGAGAGUGGAAUUCCAUGUGUAGCGGUGAAAUGCGUAGAUAUAUGGAGGAACACCAGUGGCGAAGGCGACUCUCUGGUCUGUAACUGACGCUGAGGCGCGAAAGCGUGGGGAGCAAACAGGAUUAGAUACCCUGGUAGUCCACGCCGUAAACGAUGAGUGCUAGGUGUUAGGGGGUUUCCGCCCCUUAGUGCUGCAGUUAACGCAUUAAGCACUCCGCCUGGGGAGUACGGCCGCAAGGCUGAA